UUGCUGGCACUGAGGAUGUGACAGUGAGCCAAGCUGGUCAAGUCUCCACACUGGCGGAGCUCACAUCCCAGGAGGGAGUCAGAAGAUAAACAAACACAUAAAUAUUUGGUGCUGUGUUAGUGUCCUGGCAGGAAACACAUGGUGCACUCGAGUCGGGUACUGAGGAGAGUUUAAAUAUCAAGUAUUGAUUAAGAUGUGGGCAUGAAUAAGGGAAGUCAACAAGGAGAAGAGAAGCACCCCCGGACGCCAACGCAGUGGGGCAAGGUUUUCCAAGAUCCUCCUGAAUCAACCCUGCUCAGCAUAGAGGAGCUGGGGAAGCAGCGAGAUCCCAUUGCUCCAGGAAGGACAACAAGCCCCAGAGGGACAGUCAGCACUCUAGGUCACUGUGGCCACUCACAUUCUCCUCCUGUACAUCCUGCUUCUCUAUUCUUGAACCUUGAUCCCCCUCACCCUCAAAGUAGGGGUUUUCUAUUCUUCAUAAUGGGAUUUUAAUUGGUUACAUAUGACUAUUACCCAAUUCCAGAGUAACAAUGAUAUUUCGCUUAUUGGACAAUCAUCCAGGCACAUCUUUUCUCAUAACAGGGGCAGAGAAUUGGUAUAUGUAAUGACAGCUCCAACUCUUGACAUAUUUAUUAAUGGUAUCCUGGUUCUAACUAAUUGCACAAAAAUUUACACGAUUCUUGACCUCUUCAACACAGAGAACAUUUUGUUAUGCAAUUUUUGAAGGCUAAAAGUUCAGAAUCUCCUGUAAGGGCUGAAUCCACACCAAACAAGGUCAAGAGCUCAUUUAUCAAGGAGUAAUCUCUUUCCUACCUCCACAUUUCACAUGUGCAAUGCAGAAUCUUUCUGGCCACUUCAUUACUUUCUAUUAUUUUUAUGUUAUCUGUCAAAUAAGACAAAGCCUAGCUUUCCUAGUAUAUUAACCUAUUUUGAUGAGCAAUAACUUCUUAAUACUGCGAAUGGUGUGAUCAUUAUCACUUUUAUGGAUGGAGCACUUCCUGUGUGCCAGGCACCAGUUAUGUGCUGCACUCACCUCACCGCACUUUAUCCUCAUUACCCGCCAGCCCCCAACCCUGGGUGGUGGGUUCUGCUGUUACAGAUGAGCAAACCAAGGCUCAGGGAGGUUACGUCACUGCACAAGGUGACACACCCAGUGCAUCUGUGGCAGUCCAGGAUUCGGACGCAGGUCUAACUUUCUCCAAAGUCAUCUCAUUUGUAACUGCUACAUGGAAAAAUUGGAAUUGGCCUAUGAAAUAGACAAUGCUCAUUCAGUACAACGAAUAUAGAAAGAAAACUCCAAUCUGUGAACCCCCAGGAAGCACUUAAUAAGCACCAGGCACUGUUGUAAGCACUUGUCAAAUAGGAACUCGUUACGAUCUCAGAAUGACCCUAUGAGGUAGGAACUGUGAUGAUUUCCAGUUUACAGGUGAAGCAGUUACAGCACCAAUAGGUUAGAUAAGUUGCCCAAGGCCAUGGCCCUGUCAGCAGCAGGGCAGAGUUUGGAGCCGAGGAAGUCCAGCCCUAGAUCUAGGGAAGAUGCCGACCCUCUAUCCCACCUGAGAACAGCAGAAGCUUGGGACUCUCUCCUGGCUGUCGGUCAUCUCCAUUAAAACCAACAAAUCCAACGUUUCCUCCACCAUUCUCAGCAUGGAGAGGUUUGGGGUUCUCUUUGGAAAUCAGCAGGCAAUGUUUGUUCUGGAUCAGUCAGGCCAGCCCAGAUUUCUUUCAGUUGAAUACAUAUCUUCAACCCCCUUUGGGGAAAAAAAAGCAGUGGAGAAAAUCUGGUUUCUGAGUCAGUGUUUGUGAAAUCUGCAUGUUCCCUUGGUAUAAAUUGGGCUUUGGACUGA